UGUUUCGAUGGUGCUUAGGGCGCUCGGCGCCGGGGCACACGAGUGAUGGAUGAGCGCCCCGGAGGGCCAACUCGGGGGCACUUGCAAGUGCGCCUUGGGCACACCGGGCCUCCGUCUCUCAGAAGAUGAGGGCGGGGCCACGCGUGGUCAGAACAUCUCGGUGGCAGGUUGCUCCCGGAACUGAGUCGCGCAGCAAACCCCGCGGCUGUCAGUGAGGCGUCUUCUCCCAGAGAGCAACAGCUGUCAGCACGGCACCGUCAGGCUUUUCUUUCCAAUGAAGACGCACUGCCGACCACACAGCUGUCUGUGAAUGGCCCCGCGGGUACAAGGACAGGCGAUACAUGGCAGGUCAAUUCUUCCUCCCUCGUUGAGUUAAAGCCGCCAUAUACGUAAGCGGAGGACAACUGGACAAGAACGACGUAUGUGUGAGGAUAUUAUAUCUGGGA